UACGGAGGGGGCUAGCGUUGUUCGGAAUUACUGGGCGUAAAGCGCACGUAGGCGGACAUUUAAGUCAGGGGUGAAAUCCCGGGGCUCAACCCCGGAACGGCCUUUGAUACUGAAGAUCUUGAGUUCGGGAGAGGUGAGUGGAACUGCGAGUGUAGAGGUGAAAUUCGUAGAUAUUCGCAAGAACACCAGUGGCGAAGGCGGCUCACUGGCCCGAUACUGACGCUGAGGCACGAAAGCGUGGGGAGCAAACAGG
rnacentral:rRNA from 1 species